GGCCUUCCAGUGCUUACUGCAGGCUGUGUUCUUACACAGACUGUACAGAGGGAGGAGGCAGAGUUAAUCCACCCCAUACACACCUCAGCCCCGGCCCUUUGCCUGGUCUGUAUUGUGAAUGGGGGGACAUGG